AAACAGCACGGCGCAGCGCCCCUCUCAACUGCUCACCCCGGGCAGGGCGAGAGCGUCGCACCCCCUCGCAAAGAAGAACACCUUCUUCCGACGGUCCCGAUUUCACUUCGUGAUGUGCCAGCGGCUGAAUUAUUCUGGCGUCAUUAACCUAAAAUGAAAUCACAGGAGCACAAAGUGAAGGUAAAUACACGAGAUGAAUUGCUUCGCCGCAUCAUGGACGCUGCAGAAUUGGUUAGCAACCAACCACAGACAAUUGAACAGGCAACACAUGUUGUCGCUAGAGCGCAAAAGUGCAUCGACGUUCAUGGUGGGAUAUUCGAACCUGUUCUGUGAACUGUACAACAUCUGUACGGUAAGUGUUAAAGCCGUUUGUAAAAGACGUGGUACGUCUUUUUCAACUUAAUGUAUGUAACACGCAUGUUGUAAUGCAUUAUGUACUAA